rnacentral:rRNA from 1 species
GAUGAACGCUGGCGGCGUGCCUAAUACAUGCAAGUCGAGCGAACAGACGAGGAGCUUGCUCCUCUGACGUUAGCGGCGGACGGGUGAAUAACACGUGGAUAACCUACCUAUAAGACUGGGAUAACUUCGGGAAACCGGAGCUAAUACCGGAUAAUAUAUUGAACCGCAUGGUUCAAUAGUGAAAGACGGUUUUGCUGUCACUUAUCGAUGGAUAUCCGCCGCAUUAGCUAGUUGUUAAGUUCACGGGCUACCAAGGCAACGAUGCGUAACCGACGUGAGAGGGUGGUCGGCCACACUGGAACGGGGACACGGUCCAGGCGACUACGGGAGGCAGCAGAAGGGAAUCUUCCGCAAUGGGGGAAAGCUUGACGGAGCAAGGGCGCGUGAGAGGUGAAAGUCUUCGGUUCGUAAAACUCUGUUAUUAGGGAAGAACAAAUGUGUAAGUAGCUAUGCACGUCUUGACGGUACCUAAUCAGAAAGCCACGGCUAACUACGUG